rnacentral:tRNA from 1 species
CGGGGUGUAGCGCAGUUGGCUAGCGCGCACGCAUGGGGUGCGUGAGGUCGUGGGUUCGAGUCCCGCCACUCCGACCA